GACGAACGCUGGCGGCGUGCUUAACACAUGCAAGUCGAACGGAAAGGCCCUGCUUUUGUGGGGUGCUCGAGUGGCGAACGGGUGAGUAACACGUGAGUAACCUGCCCUUGACUUUGGGAUAACUUCAGGAAACUGGGGCUAAUACCGGAUAGGAGCUCCUGCUGCAUGGUGGGGGUUGGAAAGUUUCGGCGGUUGGGGAUGGACUCGCGGCUUAUCGGCUUGUUGGUGGGGUAGUGGCUUACCAAGGCUUUGACGGGUAGCCGGCCUGAGAGGGUGACCGGCCACAUUGGGACUGAGAUACGGCCCAGACGCCUACGGGAGGCAGCAGUGGGGAAUAUUGCACAGUGGGCGGAAGCCUGAUGCAGCAACGCCGCGUGCGGGAUGACGGCCUUCGGGUUGUAAACCGCUUUCGCCUGUGACGAAGCGUGAGUGACGGUAAUGGGUAAAGAAGCACCGGCUAACUACGUG
rnacentral:rRNA from 1 species